CUAGACGAAAUGUCAACAGUUGAGCUGCAACAUGGGAAUGUAGCUCAACUGAUAACAGUGCAGCCCUAACGUGCACAAAGCCCCGGGUUGCAUUCCCAGUGCCACAUAAACUGCGAAUGGUGGCACACACCUGUAACCCUAGCACUUGGAAAUAUAAGGCUAUCCUUGGCUACAUAGCGAUAACAAGCCAACCUAAGAUAAUUGAGACCCUAGUUUUUAAAAAAAGAAAAAAGCACCGUGAGUAGAAAAGGUAAGGGCCUGGUUAGUUGGGCGUGAGAACACCCACGCUGUUUCUCUCUUCUCUCGUGGUCUG
rnacentral:lncRNA from 1 species